GGAACACCCCAGGCUCUCCCAGACCCUGGGGGGAAACAAGUCCCCUAGAUUACAACUCUUUCUCUGUAUACACACGUACACGUGAAUCUACAGGAUUCCAGCCUAAGGAAAUGAUCCCAGAUGGAGAAGGCAGAUAAAGGGCUGCAGAGAGAUGUUCUAGGUGGUGGUAGCCAGCCUCCAAGAUGGCCUUCAAGGAUCCCCACCUCCAGGUAUUCACAUCCUUAUGUAGUCCCCUCCACACUCUACCAGCGUGGUUGGUGUGACCAUUAGGGUAUGGCAGAACUACCAGUGCGUCACCUCAAUAUUAGGUUAUGAAAGACUGUGGCUUCUGUCUGGGAUGCUCUCUCACUUCCUCAGACUCUCUCUCUCUUUUUCCUUUGGACCAGUCCCUGUUGGGGGCAGGGGAGGGCAGCUUUCACAUCCUGAUGACACUCUGGCAGCCUAUAGAGAGGUCCAUGUGGUAAAGAACAGAGACCUCUGGCCAAGACCUGGCGAGAAACUGAGGCCUCCUGCCAGUAGCCAUGUGAUGGAGCUUGGAGUCCGACUCUCCAGCC